AUGGAUAAUUAGCUAUAUAUUAAAGAUAUCUAGUCAAUCUAGUUUCUAAGAGAAUCAGAUAAUAACGAAGUGAAUUGAAAUAUCUUAGUAACUUUAGGAAAGAAUCAACGAGAUUGUUAUUUGGUGUCACUAAUAACAAAGCCUAUAACAAACUUGUUAAAGUAAAUGGAUUAAAUCUGUUUGAAUAUAGGGAACCUUCCUCUAAGGCUAAAAUGAUAUAUAAGCGAUAGUGAAAGUACCGUGAGGUAAAUUUGAAUAGUAAUUUAUAAGCAGCUCGAGUGAAAUUUAAAUAAAAAUAGAGCGUACCUUUUGCAUAAUGGGUCAGCAAGUUAAUUUUAGAUGCAAGCUAUGAUUUUAUGUGGUUUUCGCAUAAACUAGCUUAGAUAACCAAUUAUGAAAAAUGAAUAAGUAUCUAGAUUAGACCGAGGCUAGUGAUCUUACCAUGGUCAGGGUUAUAAAGCCCGAACGGGUUAUCGUUGUAUAGAUAUCCGAAGAAUUGUGGUAAGUUAGUGAAGACAAACUGACUAGUAUAGCUGGUUUUCCGCGAAACCUAUAUGAGUAGGUAAUUUAAUUAACAUCUUAGCAGGUACAGAACUGUGAUCUCGGACAAUAUCUUUUGAUUUUGUCACAUCGGGGGUUGUAGUGACUUUACGGAGAGUAUUUGCACUCGGAUGGCAAAGAUGAAUGUUGAAUAUCGGACAUAGUGCGAUAAGGUUGUAUGUCUAAGGGAACAGCCAGAACAGAGUUAAGGUUCCAAUUAUUGUUGAGUGAAUUAGGAUGUUUUUUUUUAUACAAUCAGGAAUAGGCUUAGAAGCGGCCAUUUUUUGAAGACCUCGUAACAGAGCACUGAUUAAUUUUUAGAAAAAAACACCGAAAUUUAACGGAUCUAACAAUAUACCGAACCUUGUACACAUUAAUAAUAAUAUAUUGUAUAUGUGGGGUAGCGGAACAUUGGAUAAUAUUAUUAUUAUUUCUUAUUUAAGAAUAUAAUAUGGAUUAUUAAUAACUAAAUAAAUUAAUUAAUCCAUUAAUAAUCCAGAGAGAAUGCUGACAUGAGUAACGAAAAGGAUAUCCUCGCCUUAGCUUAUGGUAUUUUAUUUAAUUUUCGGUAUCUAAAUAUAUUAUCAAAAGGUAAUUUUGAUGAUAUUUUUAUAAAAAUACUUAUAGUAAAAACAAACCUUUAUAAGUAUAAGGUUCUGGAAAUUUUUUACUUAAUAAAUAUAUAUAACUAAUAGUCUUAUGAAUAAACUCAUAUGUUAUAUUGUAUUUACUAUCUAAUUUCUUGUUACAAGUUUUCAAGAUUACAUAGUUUAAUAGAAUGUAUAGAGUUUAUAAAAAAAGAUAUAUUUUAUUUUUAUAUUUUACAUUAUUGUAUAUAUUAAGACUAUUAUACAGAUAUAUAAUGUAAUAUAUAAGGUUUUUCUAUAUACCGUACCUAGAUACUAUCACAAGUAAGCAAGUAGAGAUACAAAGGCGUUUGAGUGAACAAUCAUUAAGGAACUCGGCAAAUUGACUACCGUAACUUCGGGAUAAGGAGGGCCAUUAUCAUUAGUUUAACAUACCUUACAGGUAUGAUUUAAUUAAUUAAGGAUAAGAGGAAACAUAAAUAAUGUUGUACGACUGUUUAAUAAAACACAGCACUCUGCAAAGAUAAAUAUCAAAGUAUUGAGUGUGAUGUCUGCCCAAUGUCGGCUGGAUAACGGAUUUACCUUGGUUUUUAACUGAGGUUUUGAAGGAUACCCCGAUUAAUGGCGGCCUUACCUAUGAGGGUCCUAAGGUAGCGAAUACCUUGGCCGUUAAAUGCGGUCCUGCAUGAAUGACUUAACGAUACAACAGCUGUCUCGAUGAUUGUCUCAGUGAAAUUG
rnacentral:ncRNA from 1 species